ensembl:lncRNA novel transcript
AGAGGGAUGCCCGGUGACAGACUCGGCGCCGGCUUCCGGCGCCGUAAGAGAAGCGUCCGCGCGGGCGUUCUGGACCCGCAGAGUUCUCGGCGUUUCCGAAGCUCUUGGUGUGGCCGGGACCCGGGAGAAGGAGCAGGGCUGGUGGGGCUGCUGCAGCCGGAAAUAAUCAUGGUGCUCAACAGUUUGGAUAAGAUGAUUCAACUCCAGAAAAACACUGCCAACAUCAGGAAUAUUUGUGUUUUGGCUCAUGUUGACCGUGGAAAAACUACUCUGGCUGACUGUCUUAUAUCUAGCAAUGGAAUCAUCUCCAGCCACCUAGCAGGCAAGUUAAGGUACAUGGACAGCAGAGAAGAUGAACAGAUCCGAGGGAUCACUAUGAAAUCCAGUGCCAUUUCCCUACAUUAUGCAACAGGUAAUGAGGAGUACCUGAUUAAUCUGAUAGACUCUCCAGGACACAUGGACUUUUCCUCAGACGUAUCAACCGCUGUUCGCAUUUGUGAUGGAUGCAUCAUUGUGGUAGAUGCUGUGGAAGGAGUCUGUCCACAGCCCAGAGAAUGGAGAGACUGAUGUGCACAGGAUCACAAACUUUUGACUCU